rnacentral:rRNA from 1 species
CUACGGGAGGCUGCAGUGGGGAAUAUUGCACAAUGGGCGCAAGCCUGAUGCAGCCAUGCCGCGUGUAUGAAGAAGGCCUUCGGGUUGUAAAGUACUUUCAGCGGGGAGGAAGGGAGUAAAGUUAAUACCUUUGCUCAUUGACGUUACCCGCAGAAGAAGCACCGGCUAACUCCGUGCCAGCAGCCGCGGUAAUACGGAGGGUGCAAGCGUUAAUCGGAAUUACUGGGCGUAAAGCGCACGCAGGCGGUUUGUUAAGUCAGAUGUGAAAUCCCCGGACUCAACCUGGGAACUGCAUCUGAUACUGGCAAGCUUGAGUAUCGUAGAGGGGGGUAGAAUACCAGGUGUAGCGGUGAAAUGCGUAGAGAUCUGGAGGAAUACCGGUGGCGAAGGCGGCCCCCUGGACGAAGACUGACGCUCAGGUGCGAAAGCGUGGGGAGCAAACAGGAUUAGAUACCCGAGUAGUC